AUUGAACGCUGGCGGCAUGCCUUACACAUGCAAGUCGAACGGCAGCACGGGUGCUUGCACCUGGUGGCGAGUGGCGAACGGGUGAGUAAUACAUCGGAACGUACCUUAUCGUGGGGGAUAACGCAGCGAAAGCUGUGCUAAUACCGCAUACGCCCUGAGGGGGAAAGCGGGGGAUCGAAAGACCUCGCGCGAUUAGAGCGGCCGAUGCCUGAUUAGCUUGUUGGUGGGGUAAAAGCCCACCAAGGCGACGAUCAGUAGCUGGUCUGAGAGGACGAUCAGCCACACUGGGACUGAGACACGGCCCAGACUCCUACGGGAGGCAGCAGUGGGGAAUUUUGGACAAUGGGGCAACCCUGAUCCAGCAAUGCCGCGUGAGUGAAGAAGGCCUUCGGGUUGUAAAGCUCUUUUGUCAGGGAAGAAAUACCGGCUCUAACACAGUCCGGGAAUGACGGUACCUGAAGAAUAAGCACCGGCUAACUACGUGCCAGCCGCCGCCGUAA
rnacentral:rRNA from 1 species